rnacentral:rRNA from 1 species
UACGGGGGGGGCAAGCGUUGUUCGGAAUUACUGGGCGUAAAGGGCGCGUAGGCGGCUCAAUCAGUCGGGCGUGAAAGCUCUGGGCUUAACCCAGAAAGGUCGUUCGAUACUGUUGGGCUAGAGUGUGGAAGAGGCUACUGGAAUUCCGUGUGUAGCGGUGAAAUGCGUAGAUAUACGGAGGAACACCUGCGGCGAAGGCAGCUCGCUGGGACGUUACUGACGCUGAGACGCGAAAGCGUGGGGAGCAAACAGG